rnacentral:rRNA from 1 species
AAACUAACAGAUUUACUUCGGUAAUGACGUUAGGAAAGCGAGCGGCGGAUGGGUGAGUAACACGUGGGGAACCUGCCCCAUAGUCUGGGAUACCACUUGGAAACAGGUGCUAAUACCGGAUAAGAAAGCAGAUCGCAUGAUCAGCUUUUAAAAGGCGGCGUAAGCUGUCGCUAUGGGAUGGCCCCGCGGUGCAUUAGCUAGUUGGUAAGGUAAAGGCUUACCAAGGCGAUGAUGCAUAGCCGAGUUGAGAGACUGAUCGGCCACAUUGGGACUGAGACACGGCCCAAACUCCUACGGGAGGCAGCAGUAGGGAAUCUUCCACAAUGGACGCAAGUCUGAUGGAGCAACGCCGCGUGAGUGAAGAAGGUUUUCGGAUCGUAAAGCUCUGUUGUUGGUGAA